UCGGCUCUCUCCGUCUCUCUUCUCAACAGUUGAAGCUUCAGCUAUGAUUCAAACAGUUAAUGGCGGAUAUCAAUAAUUGAAUCGAUUACAUUCUCUUAUUCGAUUAGGGACGAUUUUCAGUUUACCAUGAUUUUCACUGAAAAAUCAGAAUUAUAGGUGGAAGGUGCAAUUGAGAUUAAGCUCAGUGAUGCGGGAAAAAAAUAAAUAAUUACAACCAUCCAGCAGGUAAGUCACAUCUUAUGUUUUAUCUGUUCUGUACUCUGUAGAAACUCCAUCAUAGAGCCUCUUAAUGCAGGUCACUCUAAUUUGGACAAGUUUCAUCAAUCAUCUGCUUUAUCAGCGAUAAAGCAAUGGAAAGAAAUAAUAUCCGCUUUUAAUUUCUUUGGUUUUAUACUGAUAACUCUCGGAAAUGGAAAAUAUCUGCUUUAUCAGAUAUUUUCUCGUCAAGUUUGAUUUUGAUAUAUCCAUUGUUUUUAAUUUCUUCUCUCACUUUUAUAAUGACUUUGUGUAAAGUUUCUCAUUUUCGGUAAGUGUUGGGUUUUAAUAAGAAAGUCAGUAACAAUGUUGUGACGCGAGGUAUCAGGGACACUAGGCUAUACUAUUGCCCUAUACACUGUAGUAAAUGCAUUUUAUGGUCAAGUUUUUGUUUUUUUCCUUAGUUUGGGAGUACAUUUCUAUGAUGUUUAGUUUAUAAUGCAAAAAGUAAUUGGUGGACGUGUAUUUUUUUUUGUUGCUAGGAGUUUAAGGAGUUGAGAUGGAUUUAAGUAAUCAAGUUGUAGUAACCCCUGGUUCCUCUCAUGUAAAGAAAAAUGCUGAGGCUUUGGCUAGAAGAGACAGGAAAUAAAGCUAGAUUAGUUAGCCAAGGCCCAAGGGAUCCCUGUAGGUGUUUUUUUAACUUAGUCUUUUUAGGCACAUGUUGUUGCAGUUGCGAAAAGGGUGGUUACUAUCUUUUUCACUGGCAAAAGGGUUUUGAUGAUGUCUCGAGAAAUCAACCUGGUAUAUAGUUUUGGAUGAAUCAGAUGUUGACGCUCUCAUCAACGAUCAACAGCGCUGAGGCUGACAGCCAAGCUUAUUUCAGUGUUUUAUUGGAUCCAUAAGUAAGCCAUUUUUAAUCUUGCUGCUUCUCAUUUGUUUGUUGCUUUACCUGAUAUAUCAAUCCCCUUCACUGCAGAUGACUCAGUGUUCGACCUUAUCUAUUUCUUUGGUACUUUUGUAGUAUAAACUAUUCUGAGAGUUCGCUAGAAUCUCAUUUAAAGUUACGCUUCUUCCAUUUUGUAAAUUGAUUUAGUCUAGAGUUUUCCCACUUUUAGUCUGUUUAUAAAGCAUAUCAGGUUGUCCAUACUAAUGCAUAGAAACUAUUUGUAUAAAUUUAACAAAAUGUUCUUUUUUCUCCUCCAUUUGUAGUUUCAAGUUUCUUGGUAUAGUACUGUAGUAGGAAAGUUGGAUGUGAAGUAGAUAAUAUUGUGGAUAUUGCUGGCAAUGGGUGGUGAUGGAUGCCUCAAGAGAGUAGUGUAUCUGGGUAACGUUGUUGGUGGUGGUCUUAACAAGUUAAACUUCAUUUUUAUUCUCCUUGGUUAAUCUACAAAAUUAUGCGUUGCAGGUUUGUGUUGUAUGCAAUAGUGAGGUCUAUGAAAGUCUUCCCUUACACUUUAUUUAAUUUCCCUGAAUACCCUGCUCUUUGUGAAAAUGUAAAAGAAAUGUAUGUGGAGUUAUGGCUUAGCUGCCAGUUUGAAAUCUUGGAUGUCACUUCGGCUGAUUAUAAGUAACUAAUAAUUUCUACAUAUACAUAGGUUUAUGUACUUUUGCAGGAUCUGGGUCAAGAGAAUCAGAAUUAUGCGGAUCCAUGCACAUUUCUACAUUAGCAGAUCAGUUUAGCAACCACACAACAACAUUUCCGUUUUGAUCUAAAUGCACACACCUUCUCCAUGUGUAUGCUCUAGGACUUGACCAAUGAAUAUUGGCACUGAAAUGGACUGUGCCCAAGCGUUCCUUGUGGAUACUUUAAAUAUGUGUCCGCAGUCCACAAAAUACCACCGAGCAUAUAUGGAAACAUUGCUGUAGCGUUUCAAUCGAGUAAAAUUGUUGAUCUCACUCUCUGCUGCAUAAGGUUUACGGAUAUCUUCCAGGAGGUAUACGAAGCUAACUGGAAGGAUAAGUUCUAAGAUAAUUCCAUAUGGUAUGAGCAUUGUCUAAUCGAUGACAUGAAGCAAAGGUGGAUAUGUGUGGACUUGCAUAAUUACGAUGGAGAUGUCCAGAGUGAUUUCCUCGCUCAAGGUACUACCCAGGAAUUGGUGCAUGUGCAUAUAAGGUGGUACAAGUGAAUUGUCGACAUAGAAGCUUAUAUGGGUGAAAUCUAUUACCAAUAACCUUAACUUUCAAAUGGCAUGGCAGUCCCUGCAAUUGGUAAUUAUAUAAUAACAUAAUAAAGGUGGAGAUUCAAAAGUACUUGCAGAAUGUACGUAAUCUUCCUACAAUCUUCAAUCAGUAUCUCAAAUUUUUCACUUUAAAAAUUAAUCUCACAUCUGAAUAUUAGCCGCCGAGAAUUUCAAAUGAUGUGCAUUUUCAAAUGUUGGUUGUGAGAGGGAAAAAUGCUUUAGCAUAUGGCACUUACAAGUAUUUUUAUAAGAAAACGGGUAAAUCAUGAAGAAGCAGCCAAGCAGGUGAACAUUCCUGUGUGCCUAAUUUGGUAUAUUGAUUCCCCUACACUCUCUUGAACUCUUAGCUGCAUCAUCGUUUUAAUAAGGUUAAACACAACUUUUUUAUAUUGUAUUGGAGUGUGUUGUGCUAUGACUGAUAGGUAAUUUUAAGCUAUCUUGGUGAUAGUUCAACUUUUGCGUUAUUUUUUUACUGCAGGGCUACUCUUUACUAAAUAACAUUCAUAUUUUUAGUAUAUCGGAGUAGGUGUACACCGAUUAUGAAGUGUAAGUAAUGGCUCUUGGAAUUAUGAAGGAGGAAAUGUGCUAGAGCGAGCCCUUAUAAUAUCUCGAUGCAAAUAGAGUUCGUGAUCAUUUUUUAUAGUUAACUGUAUGUAACUCAAGUUUUUUCCUCUACUGUUCUCACUUGUGGUGCUAGGUGCCAUCGCAGGGAGGUUUCUUAUUUGAUUUUCAUCAUUAUAAUCUCAUAGUCUUAUCCUUAAUUUACAGCGAGGGUGACCAUGAAUUACACUAUAGAGAAAAAGGGGUUCUAAUAGAUGUGGAUUUUGGUAUUCCUGCAUCUUCCAAUGAUGUUGAUGUUUCCACCGUGUCAAUGACGACGAGUACUUUCCAGUUACUGAAUAAGAAUCUUAUAGACAAGAGAUGAAGAUUCCCCAUGUACAAGUUCUGUCGACUAUUGUCACUCAGAAGAAUAUGCAAGCAUGGAUGUUCAUUCAAAUGAUGAAGAAGAAAAAGAAGAUGAAUAUCAUGAAGAAGAAGAGAAUCAAGUAGAAGUAUCACUGAUUCAACUGUAAUAGAAAGCAAAGAAAUAUAUUUGAUAUGAAUAUAACAAGCAAUUGAGGUGCUCACUGCUCAUAUAUGAAACUUUGCAGGCACAAGCUUUAUCUAUUCUAAACUUUGCAGGCACAAAAUUUAUCCAUUCUAAAGUUUAAUGAAAUUCAAAACUUCUUUAUACA